rnacentral:snoRNA from 14 species
UUGCACAUCUUAUUGACCUGCUUUCUUUGGAAUAUGUGAGCAGUGUUAUUUCUUACGUGCUAUACACAUAGUUGAAGGUUAAUUAGCAGAGUAACUGCAUAUAGUAAUUCUGCCAGUCCCCUUCAGACAAAA